ACGGAGGAUGCAAGCGUUAUCCGGAUUUAUUGGGUUUAAAGGGUCCGCAGGCGGACUGGUAAGUCAGUGGUGAAAGCCCAUUGCUCAACAAUGGAACUGCCAUUGAAACUACCAGUCUUGAGUCUAGUUGACGUAGGCGGAAUGUGACAUGUAGCGGUGAAAUGCAUAGAUAUGUCACAGAACACCGAUUGCGAAGGCAGCUUACGAAACUAUGACUGACGCUCAUGGACGAAAGCGUGGGUAGCGAACAGG
rnacentral:rRNA from 1 species